AUCCAUAGAUUAGGGCCUAAUGAAUUUAUUUCAGUUGACUGAUUUCCUCAUGUGGACUGGAAUUCAGUAAAAUCGUUGAAAUUGUUCCAUGUUGCAUUUAUUUUUUUGUUCAGUAUAUUAACCUGAAGAAGGUGUACAAAUCUACCCACAUUCAUCCCGCAGAUGAAUUAAAUAUUGUUAUGAUGUUGGUUUACUUACACAGAUAUUUCCUCAAAGACUAAAUCGAUAUCAAGCUGUCUUGGUCUUAAUUAACAUCAGUGUAAAAACUAUGAUACAAACCAGCCUGGUCCCCUGGGUAAAUUUAAAGGAAUUAUUAUACACAGGAAACCAGAUAAAGCAGGCUCAUUUCCUCAUACUGUGUGACACUUGAUGGCCUCACUACUCAGUUUCAGACAAUGGUACCAUGCUCCUUCUAAUUUCUUUGGAUGAUCAAAAUACAAAUCUGACUCAGAGGUGUCCUCACAGUUUUUAAACAAUCUUUGCUGAGCAUUUGUGUGGUAUUGUAUGUUGAUAUUUUCACUGAUGGUUUCUGUGUUAAAGACACACUUUUCAUUGAUCUGUUGGCACACUGUGUGUUUAUCUGUCUCUUGUUUUGUUUUUUCAGGUCUGAACGCACUUCUGGGAAAUGGCUCAAAAUUGCCUCAAGUGCUUGAAAUACACCAUGUGUGUGGUUAACUUCUUGUGCUUUAUCUGUGGAACUGCAGGGUUUGGUUUUGGAGUGUUCAUGAUGAUGUCAUCCCUGUCCUCCCUGAACAUUGCCAACAUGCUCUUCAUCACCGGCAUCAUCAUGACCUGUGUGUCCUUCCUGGGGUUCCUGGGGGCCCUGAAAGAGAACCGCUGCCUCCUUGUCACUUUUUUCAUCCUGCUGUUCAUUCUGAUGUUGGUGGAGCUGACUGCAGCCUUUCUACUGCUUUUAUAUGAGAGCAAGAUUGACAGCUUCCUACAGAGGGAUCUCAUAGACAAUCUGGAGAAGUCCAGGGAAUCAGCUAAAGGUGGGAAUUCAACAAUGAGCAAGGGCGACUGGGACAUCAUUCAGACCAUGUUCCAGUGCUGUGGGGUACAUAACUCAAGUGACUGGAAGGAUAAAGUGCCUGCGUCCUGCUGCUCCAAGACCCAAUGUGACAUCAAUCAGCCGGGUUGUUACAAUAAAUUGAAGGCCUGGUUUGAGGGGAACUCCCUAGCCACUGGAGUUGCUGUGAUUGUGCUCUGCAGUAUUGAGACAGAGGGACAGACAGAUGGCUUCUGGGACUGGGGGCCUGGCAUGUCAGGGCUCAAAUGGGCAUCAGCCGAGUGGUGUUGAACAGGAGUGGGUUCAGUUCCUCUGCAUGCACAGCCCUGUGGAGGGAGGGCUCUGAGGCACUCCGCUCGAUUUUUGGUAACAGGUCCUGGACCUGCUCAAUGCCUAACAUGAUCUGAGGAGAAACAAAGUAAACAUUGUAGAAUUGGAAAGAUACUCACAUUCGAACCAAGGAGGCGGAGAUGGAUAAAACAAAAAGAGAACUGUAUGUAAAGAGGAAAAUACCCUGUUGUUGACUUUAAAUGCUUUGGCAGUGCCCUCUCACCUGUGGAAAGAGGGGCCUCUCAUCACGUUUGAACUUCAGGCAGUCAAUGAUUAGCCUCUUCAUUGAUUUGGGUGAGCUACUGGACAGCAAACUGAGGUCUGGAGACAAAUAGCCUCGCCCAACCAUAAAGAGUAUCUGAGAGGAAAGACAGGUUGGUAAAUGUAUGUCUCUUGCUGGGAAUAGAAUAUACAACCAUAUCAGUUCUUAUGUACGAGACGUUUGAAUGUGAAUGAUCUUAAAUAGCAUAUGUCAGCUGCACCCUUCAGAUCUGUAUUAAGAGGUAAACCGCUCCCAUCCUCCCCUCGGUAGUCUCAUUUUAUAUUUAUGUUUUAUUGUAAAAUUAUAACAAUUUCAUUGCCAUUAUAAUAAUUUCACCUGGUCUCUGUUGUUGAUCUGGGAAUAAGGCAGAGUCCCUGACAUCAGCUCAAACAGAACCACCCCGUAGCCAUACACGUCUGACUGAAAUGUGUAAGGGUUGGUGUCCUGCAUCCGGAUCACCUCAGGAGCCUAAAAACAGAAAACGCACACAUAUCGUUGGACAGCUGAUUCAAGCACAAACAUUUUAUUUGAUCUGUUCCAUGAAGAUUAAUUUAAGACUAAGACUUUUUCCAUUUGCCUGGCUACCCAGUUUCUCCUCUGCAAUGAUUCUGGAUUGGAGUACAUCCCUGACUGUUCACCGAAUGCGAACACAUUCGGGCUGUCUGACUGGACCAGGAACUAAUGGGUUGGGCCAGAGGCGGACCACACGUGGGUAAAGCGGCAGUUUGAAAAUUUGUCAUGGCUUUGAUACUCUGAUUGGUUUGAGACGAUUAGAUACCCAUAGACAUAGUCAUUGCGCCAACGCUAGAUAGCAACUUUCCUCAAACUGCACACAGAGCAAUACAAAUUGUAUUCACAAGUUCAGGAAAUUCAGUUGUGUCACGUUUUUUGUGUACUUGCCACGAUACCUCUGAUUAUAGCAACAACCCUAACUGUUAUACUAACAUAAAGCUGAGUCUGUCCUCUUAACAGUAGUUUUAAAAACAGUCUUUCCCACAAAUACAUUUUGAAAAUAUUGCCCAACUCUCAGUGUGCUUGUACUUAUCACAAAGCAUCUCUCCCUUCACUUCAUGUGCAAAGGGGAGAGGGAGAGGCAGCGAAACAGAGACAGGACAGAGACAGGGCAGUGACUUUCAUUGCAGGAAGCAGGUUAAUCCAGAUUCAUACACAUUGACAGAUGGAAUGGAAUUGCUUUUCCAUUACUUCUAACCAAAUUUCCAAAAAAGUAUGCAUAAUAUUGUAUUGACACUGGGAGGCUGCCCUUUGAUCCCAUAUACCAUCUCUUGCUGUCGCGCAAGGCACUCCCCCAUUCAUAAUAAUACUUGUUAAAUGAAUUGUUAAAAAAAGUAAAUCCACUUUGUAUGGCCAUGUUCGCGAGUGUCAGUGGUACGGUUUUGGGGUCACACCGAAAAUAUUAAUACAUUCUAAUAAUAUCUAAACAGUUAACUAGAAGGUACAAGAUAUGUUUUGUUUUGGCUACUAGUUUGUUCUCCAUAUUUUAUAGGCUAGGCCCACCUGCUGCUGAAACGUCUGACUGACUCCUUGAGCAACGGCCCACUCAUCUUGCACACAUGCAGGUGAUGCGAGCAAACAAAUGAGCUGAAGUGUCAUUCCGAUCCUGGUGGAUAUGUAGAUUUUUUUAUUUGACUGACAAAAUCUUUAAACUGUGCCUAAAUAUAUUAAAUUAAUUUCCAUGACCUUUCCAAAACUUUUAGGAUGUUAUAAUUUUCCAAACCUUUUUCAGGCCUGGAAAACACAAUUUCAAGAUGUCAUGACUUUUCUAGGAUUUUCAUGACCGUAGGAACCCUGGUUAAUGCACAUUACGGUUGAACAAAAAUUUGUUUUAGAACCCCAAAAAUCUGCAGGAACGAUGUUUAGCCUAAUCAACAAAAUUAUAGAUAUAAUCAAAAUUACUUCGGUAAGAGGGCAAUGUCGGUGUCUAAUUCUCAGUUAAAUGUCCCAGUUCAAGUUACUGUUGUCUUAAAUUGUGAAGACCACUUUUCUCUCUCUGCAACAGCUCGACUUGCACAUGCACAAAACGAGCACAUGCAGAUAGAUAAGCUCUAACAUCUUGAAAGUGUGCCUCAAAAAAAAUAUAUACAUAUUACCGUGGUGGCAACAAUUAAGCAGCUGCACAAUAUAACAGAAACUGUUUGCCUAUCGGCGUUGUAUUUUUUAAGACCUUUGAAAACUGAAUUGAAGACAUUGUAAGACUUAAGGCCUUUAAAUCAGAUUAAUUUAAUUAAGACAAACACUUUAAGGACCCGCAGACACCCUGUUUAAGAUGUUACAACUGCGGUCUUAUACUGAAAGAUUAAUCACGCAUGAAAAAUACAACCCCUCUAAACUCUCCAGGAAAACUCAGACAUUACAAAAUCACAUUGCUAAAUGUAGUUUGACAGUUGAUGUGAAAUGAUGCUACCCCCACUAUCAGCCAGUGAUAUCUAGGAUGUAUUCCUAGACACCAAAUGGAAGAAAAAUGCUUGAAACGGACUGCCUGAACUUGUUCAAUGAGACACUGUGCUGUAAAUUAAUGCAACCCAGGGGUGCAAGGAACUUACCAUCCACAGAAUGGAACCGCUAGGCUGUUCUACCUGCUCGGAGCCACUCCAUCGAGACUUCACUGUGGCCAGCCCAAAGUCCCCGAUCUUCACAGUCCAGCCCUCAUGGAGGAAGAUGUCUAAUACCAGAGCUCAGGAACAUGGCAGCAGGUAGGAGUGACUGUCUCACUUCUAUGAUGCUGACUCCGGCAGGGCCCACAGUGCUGACCAUGUGGACGUUGGGGGUGGAGGUGGACCGAUGCCUCUGUAGGGAUGGUCCAUCUCCAACUGGCUGGGGAAACAGGAAGGCAGAGGUCGGGGACAGAAGUCCAUGCCUACAAGACACAAAGGGGCACAACAGAACAGACACGGAUGGUGCCGCCACCUCGGGGCACAUCCUCUGGACUGGUCUCACCAGAGGAGGAGCAAGAGGAGGAGUUGGAGGACAUGAUGAAAGGCAGGAGGAGCAGGGGAGGCAGCACUGAGAUGCUUCAACCGCAGGCGAACUUCAUGCACUGGGGAUCCGGGGGAGUGAGCCCUUACCUGGAACAGACAGUGCUACGAAUUAGCUACGAUCCAUCUGAAUUCAAUCAAACGAGUGAGACAAAUGUGCCCACAAUUAUGAACAUAGAUUGACUAAGUAUGUUGCAACUUGCAAGGAUUAUACAACAUUGUGUAAACUAGGUAAAGAACUGCUAAAUACACAGAAGAGGCCUCAUUUUUACAACUCCAAAAAAUAGCUUCUCACAGUAAAAACAGUCUAAAAAGGAUUGCUUGUACCAAACAGCUGAGUUGGUGUAGGUUGUCAAUGGCUCGAACAAUUGUUAUUUGUCAUGGAUGAUUACUACUUUGACACUAACUAGUUAAACUUACUAACCAGCUAGCUAACUUCAUAGGCAACUUUACGUAGCCUAGACAUUGCUAGUUAACGUUCAUUACUACAGCAUGUCUCGCUGCACUUUGACUCACAGCUAGACAUUUAACGUUAAUGUGCACGCGAAAUUGCAUUAUUGCUGUCAAGUACCGUAGGAGCCUUGUUGGCUUUGUAAAGCUACAAAUGUUAUAGCUAAAGUCGUUGGCAAGGUAAUUACGUAGCUAUCCUAGCUUAGCAUAUAGUAAUGAUAUGACUGUUUAGCAAUAUGACAUUUCCACAUUUUGGAAGCCAUAUUUCUCUCAGCAUAACUACCACUGAGGCGUGCAAUUUGUUUAUAUUAUUUUUGACGGAAUGACAAUACCGCGUCGACGAGGCUGUUAUAAAUAGUUUCUUAAUUCCUGUCAGGUGUUUUUUUCACGUUCGAGUGCUUUCAUGAGGCGGAAAGGGAUUAGCUAGCUAGCGCGUUGGGUUGCUACUUUUGCUGUCUGAUACCAUCAAGUAACGAAAAUCUUCUUUCACUCUAAUUUACGUAAUAACAUAAGCAACUGCUUAAUUCAUAAUCGGCAAUUCAGUACCAUUGCAAAACGAGUAAUUCAUAAACAACUAACCGCAAAUUUGGUUUUGGAAUAGUCUUACCUGAAGGAGCCAUCUUGAAUGCUCUUCAUCAGAAGUAGAAUCUCUUGGAAAGCGGAACACCUCCGUGAUGCGCGCUCCCUAUUGGUCAAUUCUCACAUGUACACUCGCUCAUUGGAUAACAUAAUAUAACAAUGGGGCGGGUGUUACAAGUAAACAUGAUUAAA